CCUACGGGAGGCAGCAGUGAGGAAUAUUGGUCAAUGGGCGGAAGCCUGAACCAGCCAAGCCGCGUGCAGGAAGAAGGCCCUACGGGUUGUAAACUGCUUUUAUCGGGGAAUAAAGCGCGUUACGUGUGGCGUUUUGCGUGUACCGGAUGAAAAAGCAUCGGCUAAUUCCGUGCCAGCAGCCGCGGUAAUACGGAAGGUCCGGGCGUUAUCCGGAUUUAUUGGGUUUAAAGGGAGCGUAGGCCGCACGGCAAGGUCGCGGUUAAAUGUCCGGGCUCAACCCCGGCCGUGCCGUGGAAACUGUCGGACUAGAGACCGCGGGAAGCAGGCGGAAUGCGCGGUGUAGCGGUGAAAUGCAUAGAUAUGGCGCAGAACUCCGAUUGCGAAGGCAGCUUGCUGGAGCCGGACUGACGCUGAUGCUCGAAAGCGUGGGUAUCGAACAGGAUUAGAUACCCGUGUAGUC
rnacentral:rRNA from 1 species